GGGAGGUUUAAAAUUGUACACUUUCAUACUCUUAUAAUAAAAUUGUUUACAUUCUUUCAAUCGUAGGAUUAUUUAUUUUUCAUUAAGAAUGUUAAUGUUUCGUAACAUUCAUUUUAGAUUCUAAAUAGAGCGAGGGAUAUAUUGGUUUUAAAAUGAUAUUUAUCAUUGAAAUGGAAUAAACCGAAAAAAAAGCGGAAAAAUGUAAGAAAUGUAGGUAUUAGCUAAAAAUAGUAUGGCUUUUUUUUUCCUGUGGACAACUUUUCUAUCAGCAAUUUUGCUCCGAUUUAUAAAGAUAGC